rnacentral:rRNA from 1 species
AUUGAACGCUGGCGGCAUGCCUUACACAUGCAAGUCGAACGGCAGCACGGGAGCAAUCCUGGUGGCGAGUGGCGAACGGGUGAGUAAUAUAUCGGAACGUGCCCAGUCGUGGGGGAUAACGCAGCGAAAGCUGUGCUAAUACCGCAUACGAUCUACGGAUGAAAGCGGGGGAUCGCAAGACCUCGCGCGAUUGGAGCGGCCGAUAUCAGAUUAGGUAGUUGGUGGGGUAAAGGCUCACCAAGCCGACGAUCUGUAGCUGGUCUGAGAGGACGACCAGCCACACUGGGACUGAGACACGGCCCAGACUCCUACGGGAGGCAGCAGUGGGGAAUUUUGGACAAUGGGCGCAAGCCUGAUCCAGCCAUUCCGCGUGCAGGAUGAAGGCCCUCGGGUUGUAAACUGCUUUUGUACGGAACGAAACGGCUCUCUCUAAUACAGGGGGCUAAUGACGGUACCGUAAGAAUAAGCACCGGCUAACUACGUGCCAGCAGCCGCAGUAA